ACUCUCUUAGCUUAAAUUUAAAGUGUUAGUUUGAAGGGCUAAAGAUAUUUUUAUAGUAGUGAGUA
rnacentral:tRNA from 1 species